CCUACGGGAGGCUGCAGUGGGGAAUAUUGGACAAUGGGGGCAACCCUGAUCCAGCCAUGCCGCGUGUGUGAAGAAGGCCCUCGGGUUGUAAAGCACUUUCAGUGAGGAAGAACGCCUGGUGGUUAAUACCCAUCAGGAAAGACAUCACUCACAGAAGAAGCACCGGCUAACUCCGUGCCAGCAGCCGCGGUAAUACGGAGGGUGCGAGCGUUAAUCGGAAUUACUGGGCGUAAAGCGCGCGUAGGUGGCUUGAUAAGCCGGUUGUGAAAGCCCCGGGCUCAACCUGGGAACGGCAUCUGGAACUGUCAAGCUAGAGUGCAGGAGAGGAAGGUAGAAUUCCCGGUGUAGCGGUGAAAUGCGUAGAGAUCGGGAGGAAUACCAGUGGCGAAGGCGGCCUUCUGGACUGACACUGACACUGAGGUGCGAAAGCGUGGGUAGCAAACAGGAUUAGAUACCCGGGUAGUC
rnacentral:rRNA from 1 species